rnacentral:lncRNA from 1 species
CCAGCCACCCACCGGCACAGCACCUCAGGGCCCUCAGGCAGCAAGCACUCAUCGGCUUCAGUGCACCUGAGAGUCCCACCCUGCAGCCUCAGGUUAAGUCCAUGAAAGCAAGGGUUAACACUCAGUGCUGUGCAGUGGCCACCAGCAAACGAUGUUAAACCCCCUCCUACAAAGGGAAAAAUCCAACUGUUGUGCAGAAAAUCCCUGCCCUUUCCAAUCAAUGCUCCCUACCACCAGGGCAUCUAGUAAUUUCUAAUGCGGCCUCCCGUAGCCUUCACUUCACUGACAGGCACAGCAGGCCCCAGGGCAGCUGGCGGCCUGUUCUGCACAGGGGGCAUUAGCCCUGCCAGGAGGUGAGAGUGGGGUGGCGGGAGAGCAGAGAGGCGCCUGAGGAUCGAGCGCAGGUCCACAUUGCAGACUCGGAGUUCACAGGGCCGGGGCUGCGGUCGCUGUGGAUCAGCCAGCCCCCCUGGGCUCCCCGCAGCCACUGUCCAGCCACCCCACCUCGGAGCAGCGUGAAGCUGGUUCUCUACCCAUUUUACAGCCAGCGAACAUUCCGCAUUGAUUUAUCGACUACCGUCUGCCGUCUGCCGUCUGCCGUGGAGGGAGCUGGGAAGAGACUGCCCUCCAGUCCAGCAUGGAUUUCCCCUCCUCCCUCCUCCUUUAUCCCGGUGCAAGCUGCCAGCUGAGGCAGGAAUUGGAGCAUGCAGCAGCCCAAAUGGCUGGUCCUGAGCAUGCCUGCUCCUGGAGUCGGCCAGGCCUGUCUGUCUUUUCCUUUUCCUUUUGUCCCAAACUGAACACCCAGCCUUCGCGCAUUCCUGUUCGGUCUGGGUGCAAGAGAGAAGCCUCCAGGGAACCUCCGCAGGAUGUGCGGGAUGUUUCGCACUCACUACCUCUAAGCCUGCUCAGACCGGCCCACAAGCCAUGUCCAGGACCCCGAGGUGCCCCACUGUCUUCAGAUGCAUCAGAAAGGAGCAACUCCAGCUGUGCUGGCCUGUGAGGAAGGCAUCCCAUUGAUCGGGACACAGAUCCUCAGCUCACAUUUUCUUCUCAAAUAUCUUUUCUCAAACAAUAAUAAUUUGUUUUUCCUGAAAUAAACGAAUCAUUCUCCUUAAGAGCAAAAUUUCCUGAGCAGAAAAACUGGGGCUCUAAUGCCUGCAUAUGCAGCUCGGAGCUGCAGGAAUCGCUCUUGGUGUAAGAGCAACCCCAGCUCGACCGAACUCAAAUUUCACCUCCCUUCCUGAAGCCCCCUUGUUCCUGGCAGCCGCCGGCUCCCCAAGAGAUCAGCUUGACCAGCGAGACCUUGGUUCUGUGUUUCCAUCUGCUGACUAAUCAGAGAAAAGCAUAGCAGAUUUUCAAGCAGUUUUAAAUUACCUCUAUGUAACAAUUUUUAAAAUUUAAUUAACCUCAAUCCAGUAGCAAGUGAUCAAAAUAAGGAAAGAAAAUUAAAAUAAAAAUAUUUAAAUGUAAAUUCAGGCAGGUUACCAUUUUUAUCUAUCAAUUAGCAAAAAAAAAAAAAGGCAAUUCAUAAAAUUAUUGAAAUGAAUGCCUGGUAAGCAGUGUAAAUUGGUAAAGCCAUUUCAGAAACUAAUCAAAUAUCAUAGACCAAUAGUCUCAAAUGUACACUAUUUACACUCAGCCUUUUGAUCUAAAGAAAUAAUUUUAGCAUAUGUGCUGCUGAAGCAAGUGAGAAAAGAAAUAAUUUUAAAUAAUGAAAACAUAUUUAUGUUUAAAGAAGUUCAAUGCAGCAAUACAGGAAAAUACCACCAAGAAGAGAGGAAACGAUCUAAUUUUCAAAAUUCUGGAAUGAUUAAGUUGUACAUUUGCUCAGUGUAAUGGGCCAUUAUGAAACAUGAGGGGCUGUAAAAAUAUGUAACGAGGUGAAAUUUCUCCAGUAUAAUAAAAAGUAGAGGGGAUGACCAAGUAUAUCCAUGUGUACAAUUAUUACUAGUUGGAAAGAAUGAGCACAGAGAAUAUAUACUGGAAGAAGUUUCUGUAAAUGCCAAUAAUAUCAUCAGAAUGGUGUUAGGAAAUUAUCAUCAUCUUUUCUAAUACUCACAUGUUUUUAACUUGCAUGCAUAGUGUUGCUAAUAAUGUGUUUGAAGACUUCGAAAAAGGAGAACAUUAACUUGCCCGUGAAGUCAUUUGAAAUGGCUUUCAAAUAUGUAAUGAAAGUCAGCAUUUUUAUUUUCCCUACUGAGAAGUCGUCCAUGGGGCACGGGUAGGGAACUGAACUAUUUGCUUUGGUAAAUGAUUUUGAAAGCAGCUGGAAUUUUUCCCAUAGAAAGUAGAAAGUGUUCAGUAGUGGACAGUUAACAAAUCAACAAGAAAACAAGAAUACGCAGAUACACUGUCAUCAUGGGACAUAGUAGAGAAGGCUUUUAGGUGAACACUCUGGAUGCCAGACCCAGGAUAGUCUUGCCAGUGACAAACCAAGAAAAGGGACCGCUGCACUUCACACUUCAGUAUUUUUCCCCUGAAACAGAUAAACUCACUUUCAGAUUCCACACGUAAGUGCCAUCAUACAGUCCUUGUCUUUUGGCACCUAGAUUAUUCCCUUAGCAUAAUAUCCUCCAGUUUCAUCCAAAUGUUGUUGUAGAUGACAGAAUGUCCUGCUUUACAGUGUGAAAUAUUCCAUUGUGUAUGUAUCUGCAAUUUUCUUUAUCCAUGCACCUCUGGUGGAGACUAGGCUGCUUCUACCUCUCGGCUUUUGUCAAUAAUGCUGCAAUAAACAUUGGAGUAGAUAUUUCCUCAAUGCACUGAUUUCAGAUCCUCCAGAUGUCUACCCAGAGGUGAGGAUGCGAGGUCAUAUGGUAACCUUCCUUUUCAUUUUUUCAGGGAGCUCCACACUAUUUUCCAAAAUGGUUACACCCUCUUCCAUUCCCGCCAACAGGGUGCACACGCUCCUCUCCCCGACGCAGUCACUGGCCCUUAACAUUCACUGGUUUGACCACAGCCAUUCUAGUGGGGACAAGGGUGUACCUUACUGCAAUUUUAACUUACAUUUCCCUGGUGAUUACUCAUUCUUUUCAUGUGUCUGUUGGCCAUUCGUAUCUUUUCUUUUUGGGAAAUGUCUUUUCAAAUCUUUAGUCCAUUUUUUAUUCAAGUUAUUGUGUUCAUGAUAUUGAGUUGCUUGUGCUACUUGGACAUUAGCCUUUAUCAGAGGAAUGGUUUCCACAUCUUUUCUCCCAAUCCGUGUGUUGUCCCUUCAGUCUGUUAGUUGUUUCUUUUGCUGUACGGAGGCUUUUUGGUCUGAUGCAAUCUCAUUUGUUCAUUUUUGCUUUUGUUUCUUGUACUUUGCGAAUCCUAUCCAAGAAACUAUUGCCCAGAAUAAUCUCAUGGAGCUUGUUGCUGUUUUCUUCUAGUAGCUUUACAGUUCCAGGUCUUAUGUUUACCUAUUUUGAAUUGAUUUUUAUAUAUGAUGUUCCAUAAGAAUUCAGUCUUAUUUUUCUUCCUGUAGAUAGCCAGUUUUCCCAACACUAUUUGUUCAAGAGAUUGUCCUCUAUGAGUUGUGUGUUUUUGGCACUUUUAUCAAAAAUCAAUUAGCCAUUUUUUUUUUUUGGUACUGCUGAUCAAACUCAGGACCUUGCGCUUGUGAGGCAGGCGCAGUGCUGGUAAGCUAAAUCCCUGGCCCAGACAUAAGUAUUGAGUCUGUUACUAGGCUUUCUAUCCUGUUUUGCUGGUCGAUGCACCUGUUUUUAUACUACUACUUGCUUAUAAUACC